rnacentral:rRNA from 1 species
CCAGACUCCUACGGGAGGCAGCAGUGAGGAAUAUUGGUCAAUGGGCGGGAGCCUGAACCAGCCAAGCCGCGUGAGGGAAGAAGGUACAGCGUAUCGUAAACCUCUUUUGUCAGGGAACAAAGGCGGGGACUAGUCCCCGGAUGAGGGUACCUGAAGAAAAAGCAUCGGCUAACUACGUGCCAGCAGCCGCGGUAAUACGUAGGGGGCAAGCGUUAUCCGGAUUUACUGGGUGUAAAGGGAGCGUAGACGGCGACGCAAGUCUGAAGUGAAAUGCCAGUGCUCAACACUGGAACUGCUUUGGAAACUGUGUGGCUAGAGUGCAGGAGAGGUAAGUGGAAUUCCUAGUGUAGCGGUGAAAUGCGUAGAUAUUAGGAAGAACACCAGUGGCGAAGGCGGCUUGCUGGACAGUAACUGACGUUGAGGCUCGAAAGCGUGGGGAGCAAACAGGAUUAGAUACCCUUGUAC